rnacentral:misc_RNA from 1 species
AAACCCUGAAUGGUGGCCUGAUAAGAUGCCGUGAUAAUAAUAUCAGCACCUGCUUCAAGAUAGUCAAGGUGCACCGUACGGAUAAGGUGUGGAGAAGUAAGAAGACACUUGGCACUCCAAAGGGGAUCGUUGAGGUCAGCGCCAUGCUGUUCGAGCUCCGUGGCUAGACCACCGUCAAUGAUGGCGACGCCGCCGGACUGGCGGAGGAAAUCUGUCAACAACGGCGAAUUCUGGGCUCCGGAAUGUCCCAUCUGCGAGUUGUUCCGACGGAGAACCGGUGAUUUUUGUUUUUUGUUUCUUUUCUGAUUUGUGUAGCACUUUGGCAGUCAGCCUGUGAGACGCGGCUCGCACUGGAACAGCUACCGCUAGAUGAC